AGUAACACGUGGAUAACCUACCUAUAAGACUGGGAUAACUUCGGGAAACCGGAGCUAAUACCGGAUAAUAUUUUGAACCGCAUGGUUCAAAAGUGAAAGACGGUCUUGCUGUCACUUAUAGAUGGAUCCGCGCUGCAUUAGCUAAUUGGUAAGGUAACGGCUUACCAAGGCAACGAUGCAUAGCCGACCUGAGAGGGUGAUCGGCCACACUGGAACUGAGACACGGUCCAGACUCCUACGGGAGGCAGCAGCA
rnacentral:rRNA from 1 species